rnacentral:rRNA from 1 species
GAUGAACGCUGGCGGCGUGCCUAAUACAUGCAAGUCGAGCGAACAGAUGAGGAGCUUGCUCCUCUGACGUUAGCGGCGGACGGGUGAGUAACACGCGGAUAACCUACCUAUAAGACUGGGAUAACUUCGGGAAACCGGAGCUAAUACCGGAUAAUAUAUUGAACCGCAUGGUUCAAUAGUGAAAGACGGUUUUGCUGUCACUUAUAGAUGGAUCCGCGCCGCAUUAGCUAGUUGGUAAGGUAACGGCUUACCAAGGCAACGAUGCGUAGCCGACCUGAGAGGGUGAUCGGCCACACUGGAACUGAGACACGGUCCAGACUCCUACGGGAGGCAGCAAUAGGGAAUCUUCCGCAAUGGGCGAAAGCCUGACGGAGCAACGCCGCGUGAGUGAUGAAGGUCUUCGGAUCGUAAAACUCUGUUAUUAGGGAAGAACAAAUGUGUAAGUAACUAUGCACGUCUUGACGGUACCUAAUCAGAAAGCCACGGCUAACUACGUG